UACAGAGGUCUCGAGCGUUGUUCGGAUUCAUUGGGCGUAAAGGGUGCGUAGGUGGCGCUGUAAGUCGGGUGUGAAAUCCUGAGGCUUAACCUCGGAACUGCAUUCGAUACUGCGGCGCUUGAGGACUGGAGAGGAGACUGGAAUUCAUGGUGUAGCAGUGAAAUGCGUAGAGAUCAUGAGGAAGACCAGUGGCGAAGGCGGGUCUCUGGACAGUUCCUGACACUGAGGCACGAAAGCGUGGGGAGCAAACAGG
rnacentral:rRNA from 1 species